AUUGAACGCUGGCGGCAUGCCUUACACAUGCAAGUCGAACGGCAGCAUGGGAGCAAUCCUGGUGGCGAGUGGCGAACGGGUGAGUAAUAUAUCGGAACGUGCCCGGUCGUGGGGAUAACGUAGCGAAAGCUACGCUAAUACCGCAUACGAUCUACGGAUGAAAGCGGGGGAUCGCAAGACCUCGCGCGAUUGGAGCGGCCGAUAUCAGAUUAGGUAGUUGGUGAGGUAAAGGCUCACCAAGCCGACGAUCUGUAGCUGGUCUGAGAGGACGACCAGCCACACUGGGACUGAGACACGGCCCAGACUCCUACGGGAGGCAGCAGUGGGGAAUUUGGACAAUGGGCGCAAGCCUGAUCCAGCAAUGCCGCGUGCAGGAUGAAGGCCUUCGGUUGU
rnacentral:rRNA from 1 species